GGCGGCGAAGGGGGAGGACGCACGCUUUUUCUCUCCUGUCUCUCCCCCUUCCCCGCCUCUCUACCCCUCCCUUUGAUUAAUGUGGAAUACAGUAGUAAUUUUUAGCUCCAAUCCAUGGGUAAUAUUUUAAGGGAUUAGCCAGAGCGCAGCAGUCUUUACGUGGUGCAUAAGUGAUGGAGUACCUAAUGGCUGUCGUCCCGUUCCCUCUCUCUUUCCUGUACGUCGCUAUUGGCGCAUUUCGGGUCCAGUAAAGUUACCUGAUACGUUUAAGUUAACCCGCUCUUUGUAGUGUUAUUGUUUCUGUUUGUCCGUUUUGGUAUAUAGUGACUAUGAAGUACACUGACUUUAACGCAGUAUUAUUUAUUCCAAUAUUAUAUUAUUAGAAUCGAGACAUGUUUAGUAUAGCUAUGGUUAGGUGAAAAGAGACUGGUAAUUAGCUUGUUUAGAUGCGCCACGUACGUGCUGCACUCUGGCGGCGAAAAGCAGAGACAGUUCAAAAGGAAGUGAGGAACCAGCAGUUUGUCCGUUAUGCAGCAACUGUUCACUUGUGCCCUUGUGUUACACCUGUGAACAUCUCGCCCCUUCACCCACACACUUUGGAGCGCUAGAGUUUGAAGAGGCGCUCUGAAAUUAAUUGAGUUUGGCGCGGCUACAGCACAACAAGAUCAUAUGGCGCUGACUAAAGUUACGAGGGAGAGAGAGAGAGAGAGAGAGAGAGAGAGAGAGAGAGAGAAAGUCUACCUCUCCCACUAAGAAACUCCCGUGAACAAGAAUCGAACCUGCAUCCUUCAAGCUGUGAGUCUAGCACGGUACCAGCGAGCCAGCCGCCCCAACAGGCUCUCCUCUCGACGGAAAAACAAGUCAUUGGCUUAUACAACUUGCACUUCUCCCAAGUCACAUCCUGCAACCACUGCGCCAGGAGAGGAUUGGAAGUGCUGAUGUUCUACCUCGUCUUCCCCUUCGUCCUCCUCACCCGGGACGCCCCAUCAGUCCCCAGUUUAGCACGCGCAAGUCCCCGGAGCAGCAGGCGUUGGUGGAGUGGCCGCUAGAUGGCAGCAGUGAAGCGCGUCUCCUUGGGCGGCCGUCAGUCCAUCAGUGGCGUGUCCUCGACAAACAUGUGGCGGGGCGUGUCCUGUGUCCAGUGCGAGUUAUGCUGAUCAAUAUGUGGAAGGAAGUGAAGAAAAGAACUAAUAAUGAUGACGGAGAGAAGUGGAAGGAAAAGAAAAAUACAAAAAAAUACAAUAUUUUCUAAACAUUUAAAAGAAUAGUAUCCUAAAUUGAUCGAAAAAAAAGAAGAAGAAACAGAGAAAAAUUAAUAAUAUAAAGAAAAUAUGUCAUAGGGAUAAAAAAAAUAUUAAAAAAAACUAAACAAUGGCAAUAAAUAACUGAUCAAACGAAAACAGAAGCUACAAAUACACGAGAGACAAGAUUCAAAACAUAGCAGUGAAGUUAAACUAAUUGAAUACGAAUACUGACAAUUUGCAAGAAAAAUGUGACGAAAAACGAAACGGAAAGAAAAAAAAACAAAGGUGGAAACAAGAAAAAAAAACUUGGUAUGAAUCAGGGGAUAAGAAAUGAGAAAGGAACGAAAGUGAAGAGGGAGAAAGAAGGACGAAUGGACGAAAAUUACGGAAAGGAGAGGAGAGACGCUAAAGACCUUAGUGACAAAGAAGAAUAGCGGAAGAAGAAACGAAAGAGAUGAAAUUUACAAAGAAAAAAGAAAUAAAGGACAAAAGUAACGAAAAAGAAGAAGGAGAGAGAAAGGGGCGAAAAAGUACGAAUGAUAAAUGACAAAGGAAGAUUGAAGGUGAAGACAAAAAAAAAUACGAAAGAAAAAAGACAAAGGAAGGUAGAAAAGAAGGAAGAAAAUACAAAGAUGACAAAGAGUGAAGGAACGAAAAGAACAAACGAAGACAGAAAAGAAGUAGAUAACCAUAAAGAACAAAGAAGGAAGAAGGAAGAAAACCGAAAAGAAUGAAACAAAGGAACGGAAAAGUACAAAGAGAGAGAAGGAAGAAAACAAGAGACCAUAGAAACAAAGAAAGAACGAAGAAGACCAAAAAGAAGUAAGAGUAAGGAUGAGGGAACGAAAGAAACUACGGAAGAGAGAAAAGAAAGAAGCCAAAAAAAGGUGCGCUAACACAGCGGUCACUCACCUGCCUAAAGUAAUUACCUAACCAAGUUGUUACCUUUGAAAACCUUCCGCGCUGGUCUAUGGACACGCACCGCUGUUUACAUUUCCGUAUAGAUGCACCCUUAGAAAAAACUACUAAUUAACCUAACUAGUCUAAAACUCUAAUAAUGGAGAAUAUAAUGAACCUAAUCGAGUGCACGUGCGUUUCGUUACUGGGAUGUGAAAUGUUUGUGAGGUGAUUAAGUUGUUAGCUUGUUUGCCCUCAUUGCUUGUUAAUUAUUGGCGUGUCGAUAAGUUGGUGAUGUUAUGUGAGAAUGUUGUUAGCGGGAGUUUGUUAUUACGUUCGCAAUGUUGUCGAUUAUGGAG